AGUGAACGCUGGCGGUAGGCCUAACACAUGCAAGUCGAACGGCAGCACAGUAAGAGCUUGCUCUUACGGGUGGCGAGUGGCGGACGGGUGAGGAAUACAUCGGAAUCUACUUUUUCGUGGGGGAUAACGUAGGGAAACUUACGCUAAUACCGCAUACGACCUACGGGUGAAAGCAGGGGAUCUUCGGACCUUGCGCGAUUGAAUGAGCCGAUGUCGGAUUAGCUAGUUGGCGGGGUAAAGGCCCACCAAGGCGACGAUCCGUAGCUGGUCUGAGAGGAUGAUCAGCCACACUGGAACUGAGACACGGUCCAGACGCCUACGGGAGGCAGCAGUGGGGAAUAUUGGACAAUGGGCGCAAGCCUGAUCCAGCCAUACCGCGUGGGUGAAGAAGGCCUUCGGGUUGUAAAGCCCUUUUGUUGGGAAAGAAAAGCAGCAGGUUAAUACCCCGCUGUUCUGACGGUACCCAAAGAAUAAGCACCGGCUAACUUCGUGC
rnacentral:rRNA from 1 species